CAUUUUAAAAAUAGGCUGGGUUUCUGACUUUGUGGCUGUGGUAACUAGUGACAACCUAGAAUUAGCUUGACUCCGAGUUAAUAGCCUGGUGACAGACUGCUUCAUCAACAAUGGUAAAUGUGUGAUAUGUGAAAAGAAAUGGUAAAUGUGUGAUAUGUGAAAAGAUGUAUAAAAAAAAUACCCGGUUUGAUGAGCUAGUAGGUUAAUUACUCAGCCAAGCAGAUAUAAGUAGUAGAUCAUUUUGGUUGUGAAGUGCAUUAUCAAACGUGUUCUCCUUUCUUCUCCUUUCUUUAUAACAAAAUGCAAUUAACCCCGUGGCUGUCUAUUGUAUAACYCUGUCACAGGCUCUCCCAGUCAACACCACCUCAUGAUAUGAGGAAGUAAAUUGUUUAUAAGGAUUGCCUGCUGCAGUUGUUUGAGAGAUGUCCAGUUUGCAGCCGAACAGCCAACAUAGAGAAGACCAGCAAGGGGACCCUCAACAUCACGCAGACAUGCACUCGCUGUGAGCAUUCCUAUAAAUGGAACAGGGAGGACACUUGAAUCAGUCCAGCUGUUACCAUGAGCCCAUCCCGCCAAUUAAGGUGCCACCAACCUGAUCUACAAUGGCAAAGACCUCACCUCCAGCCUCACCUCGUUUGCGCAACAACGAUUGUCGAUAAGUAGACCAGAAUUAGAUGCAUCUAUGGAGCCAGCACUUGGAGACUUGCAAGGUGAUGUGAUGGAGUCCUGACCGACAGACAGGCUCGAGUCUCUGAAUGGAGAGACCUGGCACUCGGCAUAAACAUGUUACUAGAUAACUUUUCCUUGCAUUGUCUUUUUUUUUUUAUUGAAUUAAAUGGUAUSACUCAAUACGGGGAGGGAGAAACUGUUUAUUCUGCACCAGGAUCAGGGAACUCCUGUUUUAUACGGGACACAACACAGGAAGGUAUGACCACUGAUAUGUUUGCUAAGGCAGCCCCAUUACCGCCAGACAAAAUGCAGAUAGGCAGAGUAUCUGUAUCGGCUGGGAAUGACAAUGAAAGGUCAAAGGUUCACAUUGUUAUAUUAGCAGAACACUGCUUCUAUGGUAUUAUGUAAAGUGUUGUUUAUUCUACAUGGACCUGUUACUACAUUUGAAAGUUAUCAAAAUACUUAGUUUAGAAUAUUUACAUAAAUUUAGCAAUCACAUUCUUGUCGUUUUUACACUGUAGGCUACUGACCUAUUCAAAGCUUCCUCCGGCAUCUCACCAUACAUCUAGCA